UACGAAGGGGGCUAGCGUUGCUCGGAAUCAUUGGGCGUAAAGGGUGCGUAGGCGGCUUUUUAAGUCAGAGGUGAAAUCCUGGAGCUCAACUCCAGAACUGCCUUUGAUACUGAGAGUCUUGAGUAUGACAGAGGUGAGUGGAAUUGCGAGUGUAGAGGUGAAAUUCGUAGAUAUUCGCAAGAACACCAGUGGCGAAGGCGGCUCACUGGGUCAUUACUGACGCUGAGGCACGAAAGCGUGGGGAGCAAACAGG
rnacentral:rRNA from 1 species